rnacentral:rRNA from 2 species
GGGGAAUAUUGCACAAUGGAGGAAACUCUGAUGCAGCGACGCCGCGUGAGUGAAGAAGGUCUUCGGAUCGUAAAACUCUGUCCUUGGUGACGAAAAAAUGACGGUAGCCAAGGAGGAAGCCCCGGCUAACUACGUGCCAGCAGCCGCGGUAAUACGAAGGGUGCAAGCGUUACUCGGAAUUACUGGGCGUAAAGCGUGCGUAGGUGGUGGUUUAAGUCCGUUGUGAAAGCCCUGGGCUCAACCUGGGAACUGCAGUGGAUACUGGAUCACUAGAGUGUAGGAGAGGAAAGUGGAAUUCCUAGUGUAGCGAUGAAAUGCGUAGAGAUUAGGAAGAACACCAGUGGCGAAGGCGACUUUCUGAACUAUAACUGACGCUGAGAUACGAAAGCGUGGGGAGCAAACA